rnacentral:lncRNA from 1 species
AAACCUCUAAAUUGGUAAUUGAAUUACCUCCCUGUAGCUUUAUAGUUUGUGACAUUUCUUGACCUUGCUAGUUCUUUCAUUAGAUCUGCGCAAGAUCUAGUCAUCUGGUUAAGGAUUUUAAGCAGAUGCAACUAUAAACCCAAGAAACUGUAUUACUAUUACUGUUGGUCAUACUAAACCUGUCUAUUUCCUGAAGUAUAUGACCCACAAGGAUGUGGAAUAACUAGGAGAAACUGUUUUUGUACACUGUACAUCCUUAGUAUUUUUACACGUAUAUGAUAGGGAUGAACAUGAUUUUCCUUCGUACAGACAGCUUAAAUAAAGCACUAUGUCAAUCUGCUACUUCUCUGUUUAUUGUUGUUGGAUGUGGUUCUAUAAUCCCCCCAAAUUAAAUCUUCUUUAAUGAAAACAUGAUUUUU